GCUGAACAUCAAGGUGAAGAUAGAGGAGGAAGAUAAGUCGUUGCUACUGCUAUGCUCGUUGCCUCCUUCUAAUGAUCCAUUGGUGAUGACGUUGUUUUACAGCAAAGAGACCCUAGAGUAUGAAGACAUGGUCUCAGUGCUGCAGUCCAAUGAACAGUGAGAGAAGUUGACCAAGAAAGGUGUUUCCCAGGAGGGCUUGGCCAUUGGGGA
rnacentral:lncRNA from 1 species